AUUGAACGCUGGCGGCAGGCUUAACACAUGCAAGUCGAGCGGGGGAAGGUAGCUUGCUACUGGACCUAGCGGCGGACGGGUGAGUAAUGCUUAGGAAUCUGCCUAUUAGUGGGGGACAACAUCUCGAAAGGGAUGCUAAUACCGCAUACGUCCUACGGGAGAAAGCAGGGGAUCUUCGGACCUUGCGCUAAUAGAUGAGCCUAAGUCGGAUUAGCUAGUUGGUGGGGUAAAGGCCUACCAAGGCGACGAUCUGUAGCGGGUCUGAGAGGAUGAUCCGCCACACGGGGACUGAGACACGGCCCAGACUCCUACGGGAGGCAGCAGUGGGGAAUAUUGGACAAUGGGGGGAACCCUGAUCCAGCCAUGCCGCGUGUGUGUUGAAGGCCUUAUGGUUGUAAAGCACUUUAAGCGAGGAGGAGGCUACUUUAGUUAAUACCUAGAGAUAGUGGACGUUACUCGCAGAAUAAGCACCGGCUAACUCUGUGCCAGCCGCCGCCGUAA
rnacentral:rRNA from 1 species